rnacentral:rRNA from 1 species
AGGAUGCGAGCGUUAUCCGGAUUUAUUGGGUUUAAAGGGUGCGCAGGCGGAAUGUCAAGUCAGCGGUAAAAUUUCGGGGCUCAACCCCGUCGUGCCGUUGAAACUGGCGUUCUUGAGUGAGCGAGAAGUAUGCGGAAUGCGUGGUGUAGCGGUGAAAUGCAUAGAUAUCACGCAGAACUCCGAUUGCGAAGGCAGCAUACCGGCGCUCAACUGACGCUCAUGCACGAAAGCGUGGGUAUCGAACAGGAUUAGAUACCCUGGUAGUCCACGCAGUAAACGAUGAAUACUAACUGUCCGGGCCGAUUGAGGUCUGGGUGGUACAGCGAAAGCGUUAAGUAUUCCACCUGGGGAGUACGCCGGCAACGGUG